UAUUCUUCAUGGGUGAGCCAUUUAGGGC
rnacentral:sRNA from 1 species